rfam:Cryptococcus bestiolae CBS 10118 unplaced genomic scaffold supercont1.9, whole genome shotgun sequence.
AUCUACGACCAUAGAACCUAGAAAAUGCCGCAUCCCGUCCGCUCUGCGAAGCCAUCCUGGGUAUCGCUCGGUUAGUACCAAGGUGGGGGACCACUUGGGAAUCCCGGGUGUUGUAGUUU